AGAGUUUGAUCCUGGCUCAGAACGAACGCUGGCGGCAGGCUUAACACAUGCAAGUCGAACGCACCUUCGGGUGAGUGGCGCACGGGUGAGUAACGCGUGGGAAUGUACCGUUUAGUACGGAAUAGCUCCGGGAAACUGGAAUUAAUACCGUAUACGCCCUUCGGGGGAAAGAUUUAUCGCUAAACGAUCAGCCCGCGUGAGAUUAGGUAGUUGGUGGGGUAAUGGCCUACCAAGCCUACGAUCUCUAGCUGGUCUGAGAGGAUGAUCAGCCACACUGGAACUGAGACACGGUCCAGACUCCUACGGGAGGCAGCAGUGGGGAAUUUUCCGCAAUGGGCGAAAGCCUGACGGAGCAAUACCGCGUGAGGGACGAAGGUCUGUGGAUUGUAAACCUCUUUUGUUAGGGAAGAUAAUGACG
rnacentral:rRNA from 1 species